CUCUAUGAAGCAAGUGACUCUCGGCUCACAUGGAACACUUCAUUGGAAUACAAUGGAUCGCACAGUACGGAUGGUACUUGUUGGUAAAACUGGGAGUGGUAAAAGUGCAACAGGAAAUACCAUACUUGGAAAACCAGUGUUUGAAUCCGCUACAAGGGCUAUCAGUGUGACAAGAAACUUUCAAAA